rnacentral:rRNA from 1 species
AUUGAACGCUGGCGGCAGGCCUAACACAUGCAAGUCGAACGAGUGGCGGACGGGUGAGUAAUGUCUGGGAAACUGCCCGGUGGAGGGGGAUAACUACUGGAAACGGUAGCUCAUACCGCAUACCAUCGGAUGUGCCCAGAUGGGAUUAGCUAGGAGGUGGGGUAACGGCUCACCUAGGCGACGAUCCCUAGCUGGUCUGAGAGGACGACCAGCCACACUGGAACUGAGACACGGUCCAGACUCCUACGGGAGGCAGCAGGGGGGAAUAUUGAACAAUGGGCGCAAGCCUGAUGCAGCCAUGCCGCGUGUAUGAAGAAGGCCUUCGGGUUGUAAAGUACUUUCAGCGGGGAGGCGUUACGCGCAGAAGAAGCACCGGCUAACUCCGUGCCAGCAGCCGCGGUAAUUC